CUUAAACUUUCUGUCUCCAGUUUGUUAGUUUCUCACUUCUCCAGAUUUCCUGUGUGGAAUGAUUUUCAUGAGCAGUGACCCAUUAAUAAAAGUUUGACAAGCAGCAAGUGUCAGCAUUCAGAAGCUUCCCAAAACCACUCCAGACACUUAUUUGUGGAUUUAUUUUAAAGCACCAUCUAAAUUAACUUUAAUUUUAAGAGAUUAAAACUGAAUGCACAAAGUCAACAGUUACAUUUGCUUUGAUUUUGAUGACUAUGACCCUGGGAUACAAUCUUAAAACCUCUAUUUUCAUUCUCCUGUUCUGCUUCUACCACCAUCUUUGCUGUUCCAAAAGUACCCUAAAAGCUUUAAAUUCAAGAUUAUUGCUCCUAUAAUAUCUCCGCUCAAACUAUCUGUUCUUAUGCUUUUAUUUCCUGAUUCUUUUGCAGAACGCACAUGAGCUGUACCACAAGAACAUCGACUGCAUGCUAAGAGCAGUGACAGCCUUGGUUUUAAAGAAGUGGUGGUCAAAGAAAUGCCCUAGAUAAGCCCACCCACAUCCUUUUUACUGACACAUACAUACUAAAAUAAACAUCACCACAAAAACAUAUAAUGGCAAUGGUAAUCAGAAUUAAUACUUUUUGUGGUUCCACAUUUUCCAAACACUAUUCCUUUAUCAGUUACAGUCUGCAAAGCUUCAGUUUGUCAGUGUACAUUUAAAAGAAUACAAGCAUGUGUUUACUGGAUGCUCACACUGAAGUUGGGCAUGGUUUCAGAAUACAAUUUUACCACAUCACAAGCCUUGAGAAAAAACAUUUUCUUCCACAGAGAGGUUCAGUUACUGAGGAAACACAAAGCUCUUCAUCUCACUGUUUAAGACCCAAACCCAGGAAAAGCAACAUGCUUGAAAACAAAAUGCAUGCUUUUGGAGUUAGAACUUUCUGUGUAAAACACACAGAGACACAGACACACACAUUCAGGGGAGGCUCAGGGCACCAUUAAUAAUUACGGUUAAUAUGAUCUCACUUAAACUUGAGAGGGGACGUGUAAGUCAGCUCUUCACAGCUCUUGCAAGUGCAUGACACAGAGAGAGAGAAAGAGAGAGAGAGAGAGAGUGUGUCAGAGAGGACAUAAAGUGUAUGUGUGUGUGUGUGUGUGUGUGUGUGUGUCGUGUAAUGCAGCUGCUGCGUGAUGAUCAACAUCCACAAGCUUCUUUACUUCGCUAACUGUGGGAGCAGGCGUAAAUAGAUGGCCUCUUCAUUAGCUGAGCUGGAGAUGCUGACCAUCAUGUUUUCUCUCCUGGUUUUUGCCCUCUUCACACUUGGAGGGAUGCUCAAUGAGGAAUGUGGACAGUCAAAUGCGACUAACACAAACCCACAAAACGAUGUGCUGACUGUCUGACUUUGAUGAGGGUUAUGAUUCAGAUACAGAAGAUUCACAGGGGAAAAGCAGCCCUCUGAGAAUGUGACAGUCAAAGCCCCCUCCUGUGUGUGAACCUGUUGGUUACCAGACAAAAAGUUGAACUGAUAACCUCUGAACACAAGUGCAUGUGUACUUUGUUAAAGGAUCUUGCAUCCUCCAGGAUGAGCCAUAGGGGAGUGGCCUACACUACACAUUGUAAAAGAAAAAAAAAAGGACUGAACAAAGAAACGCCUGCUUUAACAAACACUGUCAAGUCAGUAUCUCGCGCCUGCUUUCUUUGUGAGAGUGUGAAGACAGAAGGAUUUUAUCUAACCUAGAACUGAAAGCAGCUGCUUCUACCAUUGUGUAGAUGGAACUGCCAUUCACUGGCUUUGAGCUGACCUUCAUCAUCGUUGCCUUCAUCAUCUUCACUCUCUUCAGUUUGGCUUCAGUCUGUUUUCAACCACAGGCAGCCCGGCCAGAAAAAGAUGUCUAUGAAGUGAAGAAACUGCAGCCAUGUAACAGGAAGCAGAGAGUGAUCAUCAAAGAAGCUGGACAGAACACAUAAAGCAAACAUUAUAAACCCCAGCUGAGUGAAGGCAAAACUGAAAACACCGCUUACUGUUCUUUUUUUUUUUUUGUAUUAGUGUUGACGCAAUGCCCAUUACAGUAGGUUCCCACAAUAAAGAUAAGGUGGCAAUAAACUGUACCCUAUUAAUUAUACAGCUUCGUAAGUUAUGAGUAUUGUUAUAAGGCUGAAGGUAAUCAUUUAGAAGUGUAACACAAAUUGCUAACAGCAUAAUGUGAUCUCAGCGUAUUUGUUCAGGUAUCUGGAGAGGACGAUUAGAUAAACUUGUAGAGCAAAGAUCCUGUUUGUACAGUUUAUCACUGUAACACCACAUCUUUUCUUUCCUCUAUGAUAAUUUGCUCUUUAGCUCCAUCUACAGUUUAAAAAAAGCAUCAGCUGAAUUCUGAACUGAGGCCACAGAAAAAUAGGUAGAGUUAAAUGCCGUGGAGCUGAAGAACCAGACAGAGCCGAACACUGAUGCACAGAUCUCUGACAAGCCGUGAUGUCUUGUCUAGGAUUUAACAAACCAAGUGACUUUCGGCCCCUGCAGCCCUCGUGGGGUGACAUCCCAGGGGGUUAGAGGCUGCUCCCUGUGGAGAAUGCCCCUCGACCCUUAAGCCCUCCGUCACUCCUCUGCAGUCAGCCGUCUAGCUGUUGACAUGAAGCGGAGGAGGAGCUCCAGAAUAAAGCAACUGAGGAAGAUUUUCUUUUAAAGCCAGCGUCUUUGGUGUGUAAUGAUGAUCCUGUGUGUGUGUGUGUGUGUGUGUGUGUGUGUGUGUGUGUGUACUCCUGUUCAUGUGUAUAUGCAGCCAUUGAGGUUAGUAUUGGGCUGUUGAAGAGAUAAAGGGUCUUCAGAGUAAUUAAGCUCUGGCUGGAUGGCUACAGCCCUCAUUAACACUGACGAUAUUGUGGCAUGACAACAGACCCACUAUCACUCUAAUGAUGGUCAAUGAACUCACCAGGCCACAAUCCACACCCGUGCACACAGACACAAGGGCAAGGACACACCCCUACAAAUUCAGACAUCACGGCACAUUUCAACUAUGGCCACUCGUUUCAUCACCUACACUCUGCUCCUGAAUGAGAAACAGAACAACCCACACAAGCUCCGGCCAUCACGUCAGCUCUUUGAUUCAUAAGACCUUAGACUAUGGAAACAUCUCACGUGCAAACCAUCCUAUAAAGAGAGGGGUGAUCAUUCUUAAAAAGAAACAAACAUAAACUCUUCCAUAUAAAGCACAAGGAGGUCAUAAUUAUAUGCAAUCUUUGGACUAUUUGUGAAAUUGUGGUCUUAUAAUGCCAAUAUUUGUUUUUAUUUUAUUUUCAGCCCAGCAGUAUUUGCAACAAGGCUUAUAACAACCUAUAUGCCUAUAUUGGCCUUCAUUAUUUUCUCAUGUAAUCCAUUCUGUAUCAAAUCACCCAGAAAUUUCCCAGAAAUUCAGAACUCAUUCACAUUGUCUUUCUUGAACAACCAGCAGUGUGUACAAUGGAAAUGUGUUCAGCUUUCUAUCAUAACAUGUAGCCCAACUGCUAAAUAUUUACAUCUGAGAACCUACGAUGAAAAAUAUUUAUAACUAAAUAUUUCCGUUAAACCGACUGGUUCUGGUAUCUUUGUUUUUAGCAAAAUAAAUCCUUGAUAAAUCAUAAUACUGUGUUAUAUUGGUCAUGAAAUAUUUCAAUAUCACCAUUGAGCAGUCCCGCUGCUCAUGAUUUUUUAAUAUAACUGUGUUCUAAUGUAAAAGGCAGUUGUGUAUGAAUAGUCUGAAAAUAAAGAUGGGAAGUUUAUUGGGUUUAUUUUGUUCUUUCUCUAAUGCAAAUUAAAAACUGUGGCACAGAGAAUCACCAGAUCCUCAACCAUCAUCAAAUCUACAGCUGUACAUCAACUAAACAUCAGUAUCGACCUAUGUGAUUGAUAUCAAGUAUAAAAAAGUGGGCGUUGAUUUGCCACAUUAACUGUGCGCUAGAUAAAUGUUUGAAAAUAGUGUGUUAAGGAACUGAGAGGAUGACCUGUCUUUUGUUUAUGCCUCCAGCGAAGUUGAAAAGACUUUCAAGAACGGUGAUCUGGAAGCUCAAUGGGGAAAAAACCUCACUAAAAAGUUCUACUGGUCACCCAUCUACAGCAUGUACCUUAUAUUACCAUUUCAGUGUUUUAAUGAUAUGUGCUAAUGAUCACCCAAGUCCAAAAGUUACAGGGGCAUUUUAUGGAGCACUGUUCUUCCGAGCAAGUUUUGUCAGAGAUAAAGAAAGCUCCUUAUCUGCUGAUCCCGGUCAAGAGAUGAUGACAGAGGAAAAGAAGAAAGUGAAACUUUAAGAGGAGGGGAGGAGACGCUGUAAAGUCAGUACAGCUGCUGGGAAAACCAGGACUGCUGUUAACACUCGUAAUAACAGCAGCCCUGCAGUCCAACUGUUUUCUGAGCUGCACACUAAUUCAGAGCACACUGCCUGCUGAGUUCAGGCACACAUUGGACUAAAAUAUGAGCACGCUGAGCGACGGGAUUAAUAACAGGGCUGGUACUUGGGAAUGCUUCAAAUAAAUGGUCACACAUAAGGCUGCAAAUAAUUUGCUACCAGCUAUUUUUCCUCAUUUAGUCACAUCAUGGUUCUGAAAUGUCAAAAAAAAUCUUUUAACGUUUACUGCUAUGCUGGACUAACUGCCCAAACUCAGACUUUUGAGUUUUACAAUUUCAGUAGUCUGUCUAAUUUAAUUUUUUGAGACUUUUUGCUUGAAAAAUACUGACAAAAAAAGUAUUUAAUCAGCUAAUAAAAUUCUUGCUCUAAUCCAAAAAGAGGCUGAUGUUUUAGCGCAGAUACAAGUAGCAAGACAGCAUUUUGGUUACUUUACACUCAGAGAGGUAAAUCCACUUUCCAAAUGGUUUCCAUCACACACAUGAACACAUAAAGCACACAUCCUGAUGCUGUUUUAGCAAAGCAGAAAGAAACAAUUUAGAUAAAUGCUCAUCCUUCUCAGUCAUUUCCACAGCAAAAGUGGAUUUGCAGCUGUUCUGUUUUUAUCGAUGUCAACUCAUUAUCUUCACAUGUUAUCUUGGGCUUGUUGUUUGUUAAACACUUCAUACAAUGCAAAAAUGCACUGCACUGUUUAAGUAACCAAAGAUGGCUCUCACGCCACAAAAGAACAAGCUUCACCUGCAGCCCUGCCAGGGUACUGCAGCAAUGUGAGAGCUCGCCCAGUCUGUGUGUGCCUCUCUCACGGGGGGGUGUUCAAGCAGGCUGGAUAAUCCUCGUAAACACGAAUAAUCCCUUUUAUAAGGGCAAAUUAUUACAACACGCUCUGCAGCGAAGACCUGGUGGGAGAAUCUGGUAUGAAUCUUACUCUCUUACUCCAAAGGGCAGGUAGACAGAAAGUAAGGAACACAGAGAGGCAGAGGUCUGGCAGGAGUUAGCAGGCAGUGGAUACCAGGUGGCUGUGAAUGACAAUUGAGACCAAAUAAGCAUAUUCAAAUUGGGAAAAUAAAAGUUUUUUAAAUGACAAAGGCAGCUGAUAUGCAAAGUGCAGCUCACCACAGAAACAAACUACAUACCUCAGCAGAGUGUUUGCAGCAGGAUGAAUGUGUGUGUUUGUGUGUUGUUGGGGAAGAAUCUCUGUCAUUUCAAGGAGCAUUUUUGCAAACAUCAUAAAGCAAUAAAAGGCAACAUUUCAAAAUGCGACACCGACAAACAACACUAAAAAACACAAAGACCCUGGCCUUGGCUUUAUUCUUGAGAGCUGAAGGAGCUGACGGCCCAGGUGCUCGUUCAGAGACUCUCUGACUGUUUCAAGCCCUGCGGUCCAUUAGUGUCCUGCUGCUCCUCUAAUCCUCAUUCACAUGUAACGGCUGACAUUUCAUCUUAAUGUGUUAAUUCAUUAGCUGGGUGCUGAAUGGAGAGACUCAGUCCACAGAGACGGCCGUCAGCAGACACACUAAUGAGUCCCCCCCGCGCGCAGCCGGUGACUGCAGAGCUAAUGCCAAGUGAAGUGGGUUACCUGCUGCAGGAAACCCCAACGAUGGGCUACCCGGAUACCCACGCAGGGCUGGAUAUUUCUUGGAAUGUGGCAUAAUAAAAACAGCGCUUAUACAAUACAGACUCUUUUUACCAAAACCAAACAAAAGAAGCAAAGCCGAGAGAAAUGCUGCUAUUGUAAAUGAAAAACCUGUCAGCACCACUCUUUGGGCUUUUAAAUGUGCAAAGUUCUGCUUUAUUUGAUUUAUGUAUUCAUUUUUAAUUUCACCGUGGAUCCAUUGUAAAAAAAUAUAUUAUUUAAUGAUUAUUUAAUCAUUUUUGGCAUAAUAAUAAUAAUGUAUUUUAUCAGUGGGAAAAGCUGUGAUGCAGUUAAAAAUCCAGACUUUAUCCCUUCCCCCUUCCCACUCUAAAAAUCCUUGCUGAGGUUCUGCUGCUCCCUCUCAUCGGAUGACGCCAGAAAAAUAAGAAUAACUAAACAAUCUUUAUAUAAGUUAGCCACAGAAUGCUUUGUUUACUUCUCUGGUUAUCCUUGUGCUAUAAGAUAUUUAUCAAGUUCACCUGGAUAUUGUGGGUUGUUUUUUUUAACUGUAAUGGUUUAUCCAUGUGAUGAGAGAAACAACCAACUAAAAGCCAACAUUACAGAGGCAGGCCUUCAUGCUGUCACUCAGAGACAGUACAAGAUCUACACAGACAGUUAAGACGUCUUUGGUCAUCAUUAGUCUGCCGUCCCCUAGAUUUCAUUCGGAGGACCGCUGCCCCCCAAAACUGCCCCCACCACCUCAACACCCAAAAGCUCCAGAUGUAUAUAUGUGUGUGUGUGUGUGUGUGUGUGUGUGUGUGUGUGUGUGUGUGUGUGUGUGCGCAUGUGUGUGUGUGUCUUCAUCUGUUGGGGAGCAGGAGAGAGCCAGGCGGGAUCUGGUUCUUGGAGGACCUGCUAUUUCCAGUCACAGCUUCUUAAAUCUUUGCUCUAAUGUUACAGGUGAUAAAUCUUCCCUGCCUGCUCACUCCGCUCUCUUUGAAAAUAUCAGCCACUUGCGCACACAAAAUACAGCAUGCAGCACAAGAGUGUGUGUUCAAGGGGCAGUUCAGGGUGCACGGAGGGGGCUUCCUGUCAUUUGAAUUACCCCUCUACAUGUGGGGUCAAUAUGUGCCGAAAUGUGUGUUUGUGUGUGUGUGUUUGAGGGAUAGAGAGUUUUGUGUGUGUAUGGGGGGGGGGGGCUGUUGUGGGAACUACCCACCCAGCCCCCCUCCCUCUAAAAAAGGCUGUAUAAAGGAGGAAGGGGGAGAAGCACCUUUGUCACUUCGCUCUCAGACACAGAGACAUUCCUUCAGGGACAUAGCGAUUAUCCUCAGAAGAGAUCUACUUGUUCGUACUGGAUUCUCCCAGAGGAGGAUUUCCUGACAGAAAAGAGAAGAGGGGCAAAUCUGAAAGACACUCAGCAUCUCCAGUCCAGUCCGGAUUUGAGCUACAGGGACUCUCCGGAAUUAUUUGUGAAAAUUAUCAUAAGUUUCAGCUCCUGAAACCAGCUGCCACCUAACUAUGAGGAUAUUCAACCUGCUCUACCUUCUCAUGCUGCUCGCAGUCAUGGCAGCAUCGGUCUCCUCUGCCAAGCCAGGUAAGCGUCCUCAGACUUCACCACCCAGAGGUGUCCAUUUAAAGGGGGACGCCUAUAAAUCUGAACGUUAAUGUUAGUAAUGUCUGCUAGGUACAAUAAAACUUUUUUUUUUUUUAAAAAGAAAAAUAAAUACAUAAAUAAAGCUUUACAACCAGUUACAUGGACCAAAACAUAGUCCCGGUCAGCAGCGUUCUGAAUCACUGCGCACUGACCCUUAAACUCGCAUCCAUGGCAACAAGCUUGGACUAUGUUAGCUAUAGUUAACUGUCACUAAUAAAACAGAUUAGCUUAACCCUAUGAGUUAAACAGACUUAAAACUUUUAAUAGAAAAGUUUCGUUUAUUUUUCUGUUUUAACCUAAGCAAUGUUAAAAGUGCGCGAGAUAAUUUGACGGCCAAUUAUUGACGGGAUGUUACUUCUUUAUAACAGUGGUGAUGCAUUCACUGCUUGUUGUGAAAAAGUUAAAUAGUCAAUAUUUACAGUUAUUAUCUCAAAGAUUUUCACCCGGUAACUUGAAAUUAUUUUUCUCAGUUUUGAGUUAUUAGGUCAAACUUUUUUUUUGACUAUUUGGAAAUAAAUAAAUGAAACUUUUAGUGGUGGAAUCAAGCUUCCUCAGCUCAAAGGCUCCAGUCUCAUAAACAAAUUACAGCUGAGUGACACUGAUAAUUAAGUGUCGGUUUUUAUUGAUUUCGCAUAAUGCAGGAAAAGCACUUUUUAAAGCCUCCUUUUAGCCUGACCACAAAUAAGUACCCCCCAUCUGUAAUAAGGAAAAAAAAACGUUUUAGUGUUCCUGCCUCGUAGCAGGUGCGCUUUCCCCCGCAAAUUCUCGACUUUUUUUGCGGUUAUCUUUGCGCAGAUGCAAAAAAAAAAAAAAGAAAAGAAAAGAAAAAAAAGGGGAGGGGGCGGCUGCUGUUAAAGGGGGAGGUUUUGUGCCUCGGGUCGUGAUAUAGGUUCAUGUGCUGAUGGCGAGGACACGAUGAUGAGAGGAUAAAAGGAGGAGUGGAGGACAGCGGAGCGCCGCCGGGGUAUCCGCAAAGCGGACCGGUGGGCUCUUUGUCCCCGGCUGGAAGGCGCUCCGGAGCGCUUUUGUUAAUGACAGUGUUAAAACUUCAUGCAAAUACCCGCGCUUUAUUUACAUGACAUGGAGUAGCAGUGGCAAGUAUAAAGCAGGCUACCUUCAGGGUGGGGUGGGGGGCAGCUUCUUUCAGAGGUACAGGCAGAGAGGGUGGGAGGGGAGUCAUAAAGUCAUCUGGCGGUUUAUCUCUUCCUGGGCUUGGCUGGCAGUCUGGAUUUAUUAGGGACGUAUAAAAAUAAUCACGUGUUAGGUGAGUGUGUCCCAGCUGUUUGUAAAUGGGUUGCAAUAAAGAAAAGAAACUCUUAAAGUGGUCAGGAGAGGUUAUAGAGUUGCAGAAGGUUCAAAAUUAUAUAUGCCAGGCAUCCACCUGCAGACCGCAUGAAUGAGCAGCUAUUUGCCUGAUAGCAGUCUAAUUUAAUUAAAUAUCUGUUUACAUCUACAAUCAAACCAUCUCUUUUACUCCAGAUUUCUUGAACCUGAGGAAAAAAUACCACAGACACCACUGCCCACACAGACGCUGCCUGCCUCUGCACUCCAGAGUACCCUUCCCUUGAGGUCAGGAGAACUGCAAUGGGGAAGACUCGAGGAGAGAAAUGUGAAUAUGGACCGCAGUUUGUGGCAGAAACAUCACGGCUGGAGCCCAUGAAAGAAGGGGAGAUAUGGGACUCCACAAAGAUGCCACCCACAGACUUUAAUGUACAUGUAUCUGCUUCUGUAGCAAGAAUCUGAAUAUUCAUUAAACCAUGAAAAGCUACAACAGCUGGGCGACCACAGAGCUGGGCUCGGCCAGUUUUGAGCUCCUUCCAAAUGAUAAAAUGGGGAAAAUAGGAUGAGAGCUUUUAAUCAAUAUCAUCAAGUAUAUUCAAUAAUCGAUUUAAAAAGCUGCGGACCAAAGAGCUGUAAAUACCCCUAGUAUAGCUACAAAUUGUUUAUAUUGUAUGUUCAGAUGUUUAUUGAAUUACUUUUUAAUAAAAACAAAACAAAAAAGAAAACUGUUUUGAUUGUGUUUGUGUUAAAGAUGCAAUGC